rnacentral:rRNA from 1 species
UACGUAGGGUGCAAGCGUUAUCCGGAAUUAUUGGGCGUAAAGAGCUCGUAGGCGGUUUGUUGCGUCUGCUGUGAAAACUGAGGGCUCAACCCCCAGCCUGCAGUGGGUACGGGCAGACUAGAGUGCGGUAGGGGAGAUUGGAAUUCCUGGUGUAGCGGUGGAAUGCGCAGAUAUCAGGAGGAACACCGAUGGCGAAGGCAGAUCUCUGGGCCGUAACUGACGCUGAGGAGCGAAAGCAUGGGGAGCGAACAGG